UAAGGGUCAAAAAUUUUUUCCGGACAUACCAAAAGCCAGAUAUUAACUAAAAAUUGCCUGAAUCUCAUGAUUUUCGUACAAAAAACAUAUACUAUUCAUAAUUCGAUAAUUUGGCAGUCAUCAUUUCAAUUUCAAUUAAAUCAUUCUCUUGUGUUAAUUAACAACUUAUCAAAGCAAAUUUUAUCACUGCACAUUUUACAUUUAUCACUGCACAAAUUGGU